rnacentral:rRNA from 1 species
CGGAAGGGGGCGUAGCGUUGUUCGGAAUUACUGGGCGUAAAGCGCGCGCAGGCGGUCUUCCAAGUCAGUGGUGAAAGCCCGGAGCUCAACUCCGGAACUGCCAUUGAAACUGUUAGACUUGAGGAGGAGAGAGGUGAGUGGAAUUCCCAGUGUAGAGGUGAAAUUCGUAGAUAUUGGGAAGAACACCGGUGGCGAAGGCGGCUCACUGGCUCAUUUCUGACGCUCAGGCGCGACAGCGUGGGGAUCAAACAGGAUUAGAUACCCUGGUAGUCCACGCCGUAAACGAUGAAUGCUAGCCGUUGGGCAGCUUGCUGUUCAGUGGCGCAGCUAACGCAUUGAGCAUUCCGCCUGGGGGAGUACGGCCGCAAGGUUG